rnacentral:rRNA from 1 species
UACGAAGGGGGCAAGCGUUGUUCGGAUUUACUGGGCGUACAGGGAGCGUAGGCGGUUGGAUAAGCCCUCCGGGAAAUCUCCAGGCUUAACCUGGAAAGUGCAGAGGGGACUGUUCAGCUAGAGGAUGGGAGAGGAGCGCGGAAUUCCCGGUGUAGCGGUGAAAUGCGUAGAGAUCGGGAGGAAGGCCGGUGGCGAAGGCGGCGCUCUGGAACAUUUCUGACGCUGAGGCUCGAAAACGUGGGGAGCAAACAGG